rnacentral:lncRNA from 1 species
AGAACUCUUUCACAAUAAUGACAAAGUGCAUUGAGCACUUACUACAUGUUAGGUGUAAAUGCUCUGUUUGAGUUCUCUCACCCAAUUCUCAUAAUUUGAGUCUUCACAUUGAGUCUCACAUUGAGCCAUGUAAGUUGAGUUGUUGCCUGAGACUAAGACAGGCUGAAUAGCUUCCCCACAGUCUCAUGGCUAGUAACUGGGACCUCUACACCUGAUUUCUCUUAUUCCAGCUCCUGUACUCUUGCUCUCACUUCUGGGAGACAGGCUACUGCCACUAUGAAGCCUUUUACAGGUAAGGCAACUCACGGCUGAUGGCCUGCCCAAUAGAGCCCCAGGCAGUGAUUCCCAACCCUGGUUGUUUGUUAGAAUCAACUGAAGAGCUAAAAACACAGCAAAAAACAAUGCCAAGGCUGCAUCCUUAACAAAAUGAUUCAAGUGAUCUGGGAAGGGGCCCCAAUGUCAGUAUUUUUAGAUAGAUUCCCAGAGGAUUCUAAAAAAAAAAAAAAAAAAUGCAGCCAGGUUUGAAAAUCUAUGACAGAUCAACCAACUCCUGGUGUAGAGUUUAACCAACCAAAAAGUUUCACUGAUCUCAUAACCCCACCAGUCCAGUAGAGAGUGCCUGGGAGCCUUUAGGUCACCCCUACAUUCCCCUUUGAGAACUGAAAACAUUUGCUCAGUUUGCUCAUCUAUAAAAUGAGAAUGAGAGCUCACAGAACUACUGAUCACAUCUGAACUUGUCAAAUGUUUGUCCUAGAACACGGUAAGUGCUCAGCAAAUGGCAGCGGGGUGAAGAUAGUUGUCACAGACUAAGGGGCACUAAUUUCCUGAACCUGGUCCAGAUCUCAUGGCCCAAGGACAGAACUUUGUCAGCCAGAGGCACUUGGAACAAGUUCCCUCACUUUUGUCAACCACUAAUCCCUUAAAACCAGUCUUGAGGAUACAUACACACACACAUACAUCCCAGCAUCUCCACACCUACGUAUUUGUCCAGGAAGUGGCCCCUUCAGCAACAUUAUGUGUGGAUAAGCCAUGAUGACAGAUAAGUGAGGCAUCUUGGGAUUAUCAAUGCAAAUCAUCACAGUUUGCACUGUUGCUCUGAGCACUCAGAGGUCCAGGGCAGGACCUCCCAAUACAGAGCGAACAUAGACAGGAAUCUCUUACUACUCACUUGCCUAAUCAUUUCCACUUAACACACAGUGAAAGCAGAACUUUGUGACACACUUGUCCUGUCUGGGCAAAGGUUCUGCUUUUUCUGGAAGAUCUUGGAAAAAGAAAAAGCCCCGAAAACUUGGCCAUGAGAGAGGGAAGGCUUCUCAAACUUUCAUCCAUUCAACCAGCAUCCGUGGUCAGCUGUCUCACCUGUGUGUCGUUCAUCUGUGUGCCUGGCAUUGUCUUGAGCACAAGUUAGAGAAGUCACUGCCCUGGAGUCAGCAGCGGUCUGGGGGAGAAAACAGGUAAAGAGGCAACCCUACGACUUGAAAUUAGGACCCUUUUUCUGAGAUAUCUGAAAAAACUUUCCAUUUUGUCAAUGAACACUGUGUUUCAUGAACCUCUUGGCAGUGCUGAUAUUCAGUCAUCAUGCACAGGCAGAGCCAGAAAGGUUACUGAACUAUAUUUGAAAUAUGUCUGAAUCAGCGGGCAAAUUGCCACUGCCCUGACCACCCCCACUGUCCCCCACUACCACCUGGAAAAUGCAGCACUGAAAAGGUUAACUCUUGACACGUAAGAGGCAUCCGGGACAAUGCUCUAGCACCACCCCAGCCUCCUGAUUGGUUAGUGCCUAUGGUGAGCAUGUUGUCCAACUUGCCUCUUGGUAAGCGGCAGCUCUAGAGUUCUUAAAGAGAGAGGUCUUUAGAGCUGUAAUUUACUUGCAGGUUAGAGAUUAUGAGCCUGUCUUGAAGCUGCAUAUGCACAGCAAGUUCAAGGGUUUUACUUAGACUGUAUGUCUAUUUGGGAUAGCUUAGGCUUGCUGAUGGCUAUUUUAAGGGGCUAGAGUCCUUACCUUCACAACCACUUCUUGGCAAUUCUUCUACUCUAAAUUUGAAUUUUUAGGAUACCUAUAUUUCCAGGAAGACCCUCUCACAAAGAAAAACUAACUCAAUACAUGGAAGUCCAAGCAAAUACAUUAAGAAAAUAUUUGCCAUUGAGAAAGACUGAAAAUAUGUUUAUAUUUUAUGUGAAUCUUUCCCCAAUGAGAAGCUUAUCAGGAAUGCAUUUAUUAGCACAAUGUGACAGAGCCCCCAUAAUUUGCACAUGAUUGGCAGCUCUGAUAGUUGUUCCUGUGGGGACAGGAGCAUUGCCCAGCUAAGUGCCCAAGAAAUGAUUAUCUAAUGAUAUUGCGUGGUUCCCAUGCCUGAGCCCUCAGACCCUCUCCUCAUACUUCCCUUGCUCUGCUCUGUAUCAACCCUCUACCCCACAGUGUCUUCUGGCUUUCUACUGGGCUUAACCAAUGGGAGGUCAACUGAAAGGUAACUGGAGGAGUUCCCAUUGUGGCUCAGCUGGUUAAAGACCUGACCUUGUCUCCAUGAGGACAGAGGUUUGAUUCCUGGCCUCACUCAGGGGGUUAAGGAUCCAGCAAUGCUGCAGGCUGCAAUGCAGGUCACAGAUAUGGCUUGGAUCCCACGUUGCUGUGGCUGUGGCAUAGGCCGGCAGCUGCAGCUCUGAUUCAGCCUCUAGCCCAGGAACUUCCAUAUGCCAUAGGUAGUAUUUCUCCUCCUUUCUCCUCUGCCUCAGGCAAUACCCCAGGCUACAGUCUAUAACUGUAGUGCAGUUACCAGCUCUCACAGGACAAAGCUGCCAGCUUCUGCCAGGACAAUGGUUCCAAGGCUCCCGCAAUUCUACCUCCUUUGCCUUUUCUUCUCCAGCUUCUAGCUGGCUUUCAGCUAUUGGCAAUCUUGGGUUGCCUCACUGGCUGGCUCCUGUUGGCUUUUCUUCAUACCCAUCAUCUGUCUGACCAAUUCCCUGAAAAAAAUUCCCUCUACUCCAGUCUGAUUGGUUUCUAUUUUCCCAGUUGGACUCCGACACAUUGACUAACAGUGAUCUUUAGAAUGUUGUUCCUUCCCCUUUCUAGUCCUCAGUUUCCCUGUUUGUAAAUGAGACUGGAGGAAGCACUUAGCAGGCUUUAUUUUGGCUCCCUAGUAUCUAGCAAUGUAGGGGAACCUCUAAGGGUCAAAAUGCCCUCCACAUUUCAGGAAAGUACCUCAUUUUGUUUCCUGAAGCAGUUUUCAUUUUGAACUGCAGCUUCAAAUCCUUUCUUUGGAAAUUUACAGGGCAAAAAUUCUAAAGAAUAUAUUUUGAACUAUGCCAUUUUAAAAGCAAUAUAUUCAUUGCUUCUUUCCUAUACAUUUUGUAAUUUGGCACUUCUUUAUCAUUUCUUGAAGUCCUGAAGGUUUAACUGGUUUCCCUCCAGUCUUUCUGUUUGUUUGUCUUUGUCUUUUUAUAGGGCUGCAUCUGCGGCAUAUGGAGGUUCCCAGGCUAGGGGUCAAAUCAGAGCUGAACCUGCCGGCCUACACUAGAGGCACAGCAACGCCAGGUCCGCCGUGUCUGCAACCUACACCACAGCUCACAGCAAUGCCGGAUCCUUAACCCACUGCCCGGGAUCGAACCCACAACCUCCUGUUCCUAGUUGGAUUCAUUAACCACUGAGCCACGACGGGAACUCCUCCCUCUAGUCUUAAUACUCUGCCAUUUGAUGAUGUGACUUGUGGUCGUAUUCCCAUUUUUUCUUUUGCUUUAAAAAAUUUUUCUUAGAGUUUUAGACUUUGCCAAUGUGAAUCACUAUCUUUCUGGGUUGAAAGAUUCACAUUACUUAGUUUCUCCUCAAGCCCUGACCUGUGCCCUGGAUCAUUUUAAAUGCCUUUCUCUACAUCCUUAGAAAUCCUUCAAUGUCUUCCAUGGCUGCCAUAGGUGAAGAUAUGCAUGGCCAUGUGCUUUAGGUGGAGAGUGCUUCUGUUGGUUUCCCAUUUGCCUUCUCCAAACACUAUGUUGCAUGCAGCCCCUCACCUCCACAUCGACCUGAUUCCUCAGGCAAGGUCCCAAUAGGCCUGGCAUGGAGUAGUGCCUAUGGUUCCUGCUGGGCCCUCUUGAGCAAUCUUGGUGGUGAGACCCAUGGACUUCCUCAGCUGCCUCCCAAGCUUCUGCAGAGGCAAAACUCAGGCAACCAAUGAGCUAGAAGUAUGGGUUGUGCAUAGCCAGAUCCCUGUCAGGAGUGAUUCAGCAAGUGGUGACACACUGGCUUCUUAGAACUGGAUUCUGAGAGGAAGGACAGGGAUGGCCACACAUGUGGCUUCACAGAAGUAGCCCAAGCAUAGUGGAGUCAGACAUGGUUCCACUGAACACUCACUGUGAAAACCUCUUUAAUAAUGAUGGCCAACAAUAUUUAUUAAGCUCUAAUUAUGUGAUGUGUAUACUGUGCAAAGUGUUCCUGCCUGCUUUAUCUUAUUUAAUCCAAAUGGUGCUUAUGGCACAGAUUUUACAGAUGAGGAAACAGGCUAAGAACAAUUAAGCAAUUUGACCAAAUCAUAUAACUAGAAAGUGAUAGAGUCAGGAAAUCCCCUAGAUCUCUCUGCUUUCAUAUUCUCUGCCACAGAGCAAGUGAAUUAAAUUUUCCAAGCACAAGAUACCUUGUUACCUUGUCUUUCACAGUAGGAUAUUAAUACAACUAUCUUGCAGUAUUAUUUCAUAUUUUCCCCUUCUAUCUCUCUGUCUUUCUCCCCUUUAAUAUAUGUUGAGUUUCUAUUUUAUCUAUACACCGAUUUACAUCUAGGUGACAAUAGAGUUCACUAGCCAAAUAAACAAAAGAAAUUGUAAUUUCAAAUAAUUCAGUAAGUAUGCAAAAUUUACUGGAAAGUAUUUUGGAAGUCUCUCUUUAGGUAGUAUGUGGGCCUUGAUUCAAACGGGUCCUCAAAAUGCAUGUAAAGAAUUCAAAACACUGUAAAACAACAGAGGUCCUUUCUCCACCACCCUGCACACACCCUGUUUUCGCACGUGGGGUAUGAGAGCAGCUGGUGGAAGGGGCCCCAGUCUGAGCAAAGAGCAACUCACCAGGCACAAGUGGAGUCAUCAGCUCUUGCCUGUGUCUUAUUCUAUCCAAAGCUCUGAUGAAGAACUAGGUCGGAGCAGGUCCUGAUGCAGUGGGCUGGCACCAGAAAGCAAUUUGGAAGUGGCUUAAACCAGGGGGAUGGUACAAAAUGGCAGUCCCUUUCCAUUUGAGAAUUUAAUAUUCAAGAUCUCAAGUGUUCAGGAGCAUGCUGAGGAGUCUUAGGAGAGAGCAGGAUGGGAGUUUGGACAGAGUGCAUUUGCAGGGCCACCAUUUGACUCAUUCUCUCUUGAAGAUAAGUGCAUCUUGGCAGGAAUGGAUUAUCAUCCACUCCUGGUUGCCGAUACAGAGGAACCCUUUAGAUAUGUAGACCCAAACCUGCUUAUUACUAGGGGGUUGAGGAAGCCAUCAAGGAGAGAAAUAAUUUGAAAGAGGAAAGCUGAAGCAGAAGUUGACAAGGGAUGUUAAUGGAUCCUUGGGCACCUGGAGAUGAGCCUGAUAACGACUGGGGCUAGAGCAAGAGCCAAUAAAAUGUUUCUGAGCUCAACUCUC